rnacentral:rRNA from 1 species
AACGAACGCUGGCGGCAUGCCUAACACAUGCGAGUCGAACGAGACCUUCGGGUCUAGUGGCGCACGGGUGCGUAACGCGUGGGAACCUGCCCUUAGGUUCGGAAUAACUCCCCGAAAGGGGUGCUAAUACCGGAUAAUGUCUUCGGACCAAAGAUUUAUCGCCUUUGGAUGGGCCCGCGUUGGAUUAGCUAGUUGGUAGGGUAAAAGCCUACCAAGGCGACGAUCCAUAGCUGGUCUGAGAGGAUGAUCAGCCACACUGGGACUGAGACACGGCCCAGACUCCUACGGGAGGCAGCAGUGGGGAAUAUUGGACAAUGGGCGAAAGCCUGAUCCAGCAAUGCCGCGUGAGUGAUGAAGGCCUUAGGGUUGUAAAGCCCUUUUACCCGGGAUGAUAAUGACAGUACCGGGAGAAUAAGCUCCGGCUAACUCCGUG